rnacentral:rRNA from 1 species
GAUGAACGCUGGCGGCGUGCUUAACACAUGCAAGUCGAACGAUGAUGCCCAGCUUGCUGGGUGGAUUAGUGGCGAACGGGUGAGUAACACGUGAGUAACCUGCCCUUGACUCUGGGAUAAGCCUGGGAAACUGGGUCUAAUACCGGAUACGACCAUCUUGCGCAUGUCAUGGUGGUGGAAAGCUUUUGUGGUUUUGGAUGGACUCGCGGCCUAUCGGCUUGUUGGUGGGGUAAUGGCCUACCAAGGCGACGACGGGUAGCCGGCCUGAGAGGGUGACCGGCCACACGGGGACUGAGAGACGGCCCAGACUCCUACGGGAGGCAGCAGUGGGGAAUCUUGCGCAAUGGGCGCAAGCCUGAGGCAGCGACGCCGCGUGAGGGAAGACGGCCUUCGGGUUGUAAACCUCUUUCAGUAGGGAAGAAGCGAAAGUGACGGUACCUGCAGAAGAAGCGCCGGCUAACUACGUG